UACGAAGGGGGCUAGCGUUGUUCGGAAUUACUGGGCGUAAAGCGCACGUAGGCGGACUAUUAAGUCAGGGGUGAAAUCCUGGAGCUCAACUCCAGAACUGCCUUUGAUACUGAUGGUCUCGAGUCCGGAAGAGGUGAGUGGAAUUCCGAGUGUAGAGGUGAAAUUCGUAGAUAUUCGGAGGAACACCAGUGGCGAAGGCGGCUCACUGGUCCGGUACUGACGCUGAGGUGCGAAAGCGUGGGGAGCAAACAGG
rnacentral:rRNA from 2 species